rnacentral:rRNA from 1 species
UACGUAGGGUGCGAGCGUUAAUCGGAAUUACUGGGCGUAAAGCGUGCGCAGGCGGUUCUGCAAGUCAGAUGUGAAAUCCCCGGGCUUAACCUGGGAACUGCGUUUGAAACUACGGAGCUAGAGUGCGGCAGAGGGGGGUGGAAUUCCACGUGUAGCAGUGAAAUGCGUAGAUAUGUGGAGGAACACCGAUGGCGAAGGCAAUCCCCUGGACCUGUACUGACGCUCAUGCACGAAGGUCAGGGGAGCAAACGGG